GAUGAACGCUGGCGGCGUGCUUAACACAUGCAAGUCGAACGGAAAGGCUCCUGCUUGCAGGGGUACUCGAGUGGCGAACGGGUGAGUAACACGUGGGUGAUCUUCCCUGCACUUCGGGAUAAGCCUGGGAAACUGGGUCUAAUACCGGAUAGGACGAUGGUUUGGAUGCCAUUGUGGAAAGUUUUUUCGGUGUGGGAUGAGCUCGCGGCCUAUCAGCUUGUUGGUGGGGUAAUGGCCUACCAAGGCGUCGACGGGUAGCCGGCCUGAGAGGGUGUACGGCCACAUUGAGACUGAGGGACGGCACAGACUCCUACGGGAGGCAGAAGUGGAGAAUAUUGCACAAUGGGCGCAAGCCUGAUGCAGAGACGCCGCGUGGGGGAUGACGGCCUUCGGGGUGUAAACUCCUGUAGCUAGGGACGAAGCGCAAGUGACGGUACCUGGAGAAGAAGCACCGGCUAACUACGUG
rnacentral:rRNA from 1 species